ensembl:lncRNA
CAGGAUUUGUUUUACUCCUGUUUAACAGUAGAAGCCUGCACAGAUGGCUGCAAAUCAGAACCUUCAAAUGUAGCCAGAUUUGUACAUUUGUGCUGAUUUCUUGCUUAAGGGAACUCAGUUCAAAAUGCUUUACUGCCAAAUCCAUCCCUGCAGUAAUUCUCUUGGCUUCAGUGGAUGGCCACAUGGGAUUGCCUAGGAUAUCUAGCUAAGCCAAGAGAUUCUGUGCAAUUCAGAGAGGAUUUGUUUGACAAUACAAGAAAAUGAAGUCUAAAGAACAUGCUACCGUGUUGGGUGUUGUAUGAUUCAGCCAUUUUGUUGAGUGGCCAUGGGAGCCACUUUCUGUUCAGGUGACACAAGGAGCAAUUAAAAUUUACCUUUAUGUUGACUCCAGGCAAGAGAAAACUGGGUCUCAUGUAGAUACAGACAAUAGGAGAGUCAGACAGUUGAAGUGGUUUUCUGAGGACUUAGAAAUAAUUUCAGAACUGAGGAAGCGAUCUGAAAGCAGCUGUAAUUCCGUCUGUGUGGCAUCAGAAACGCUGGAAGGAGGACUUUUAGGAUACAGCUGCCUACAGAAAGUCUGGGAGCUAGAGGAGAGCUUGUUGGGUCAGAUAUCCAAACUGGAUCCCUGCAUGUGUAUCAUAUUCGUCUGACCUGCGAGGCCACCCACAGACCCAUGUGCUACGGAUCGUUUCAGCUGUCCCCACAUGAAGUCAGCUGCAGCUGGCCCAAGGCCCGGCUGGAUUUGAUCUGUUUCAGAGGGAAGCAGUGAGGUGUGACUGUGGCACGCUGUUUGUUGCUCUUCAGUCUGGGACCAUGCAGUGGAGAAGUUACAGCUGUUCCUUUGCAGGGGCAACUUUGCUCCUUCAACUGAAUUUAUUCUCUCCAGCUUUGUCCUGCGUGG